AAGUAAAAGUCGUAACAAGGUUUCCGUAGGUGAACCUGCGGAAGGAUCAUUACUGAAUAACGAGGUGUGCUGUUCUGGCUCUUCGGAGCAUGUGAACGCGGCUUCAAAUUCUUCUUAACCCACUGUGCACCUUUGUAGACUAUGACGACUCUCAAUGAGCCGGAGCUCGCUCCGGUCUGUUGGAUCGAGGGAUUUGCGACUCAGCUAUCCUUCAAUGUCGUAGUCUAUGUUAUAUCUCUAUAAACAAGUCCUAGAAUGUCAUUUACGGGUUUUAACGAACCUAUAAAACUAUAUACAACUUUCAACAACGGAUCUCUUGGCUCUCGCAUCGAUGAAGAACGCAGCGAAAUGCGAUAAGUAAUGUGAAUUGCAGAAUUCAGUGAAUCAUCGAAUCUUUGAACGCACCUUGCACUCUUUGGUAUUCCGAAGAGUAUGCCUGUUUGAGUGUCAUUAAAUUCUCAAACCUCGAUGGCUUUAUUGACGUCGAGGCUUUGGAUGUGGGAGUUGCUGGUACCUUUGUCAGGUUCAGCUCUCCUUAAAUGCAUUAGUGGUUACUGUUUCCCCACUAUCCCUGGUGUGAUAAUUAUCUACGCCUUGGUGAGGGAAUGUCGAGUGUAGCUGCUUUCUAACCGUCCAUGCAAUGUGGACAACUUGAACCAUUUGACCUCAAAUCAGGUAGGACUACCCGCUGAACUUAAGCAUAUCAAUAAGCGGAGGA
rnacentral:rRNA from 1 species